UGGGGGUAGACCGGGAAGUUUUUCAGGAAAUACAUCAGGAAAUUCUCUAACAACAGAAAUAUUAUUCAAAUCUGACUUGUCUUUAUUCAAAUCCAUAACAUGGGCUAAGAAAGCUUGACAUCCGUUUUUCAAUAAAUGAAUAGCUUUGUGGCUUGAUAUGACAGUGACUGAUUUUAGUGGUUUAGUGGUUUGAAUUCGUAUGACAGGUUGGUUAGGAAUAUGAAAACUAACAACCUUACGAAAACAAUCAAUUUUGGCAUGAUGAGUGGUUAACCAAUC
rnacentral:lncRNA from 1 species